rnacentral:lncRNA from 1 species
UCCCGCCCCGCCAUGCAAAUCAGCCAGGCGGCGACGGCCAAUGGGGAGGCGAGCUCCGCUGUUGUAUUUAUAGACGCUAUUUAAAGAGCCCCUGGGAGUCUCCGCGCGGCGCUGGGCGGCGGCGGCGACUGGGAGGGCGCGCGGGAGGCUGGGCACGUGCGCUGGGGGGGGGUAGGGGGCGCGCGGGCCCUGGCGGACCGUUGGUGCGCGCGCCCAACCGCCGCCACGGCCACGCGCAGAUCGCGCGGAGCGGGAGGGCAGCGCAGCAGUGGAGGUGGAGGUGGUCUGGGGAAUGCCGUCCUCAGGAAAAACUCCAGAAUGUGCCUGUAGCAAGGCAACUUGCCUGCUGUGGACUGGGCGGAGAGAUGAGGGAUGGGGGCAGGAACUGCUCCGAAUGCUUGGCACACCCCCCACCUAAAGAUUUGCUGUGUCAUACUGGACAAGUGAUUCAAACCUGUGAUACCUCGAUUUCCACUACUGCAAAAUGAAGGCAAUGCAUAAAGUAGCUACAGUGGCCACGUUGAUGGUCUCUUUCUUCCAAAGCAGUUCUACAGAAAUCAGAAACUGGUGGACCUAUUCCGUCAAAAAAUUUCCACUGAAUCUCUGUCACAUGGUGUCAACACUAUUUCACUCAUCAAGGCUGUCUUUUGCUGCGUCAUUGGUGCUCUGCCUGCUGAAAUGCUGCUGCCUCAUGAGAACUGCAGAAAACUUGGCUCAACUUGCACUUCCUACAAGUGUGCCCGGAUGGAACUCUGCGAGAAUAAAAGGACACAUCAGAGGAAAAACUGGAUCUGCAGUAGCUCUCUUCAAGAGCCCUGCUGAUUGGUUGGUUGGUUGAUUUUCAGAGCUGCAAAGGAUACAGAUCUUCCCUCAUUACCUGCUUCUGUCAUAGUACAACUGUUAGGUGCGCACACCUAACAUUUGAAGAGAAUGGCAGCAAUUAAACAACAUAGGUAUUGAUUUCAUUGCUGAGUAAAGCCUGGAUUCCUGUUUCAUUAUGAUCUUGUACACUACUAUGCACAGUCACUGUCACACCAAGACCUGCAUCUAAGUUAAAUGUAAACAGAGGUGGAACAAUUUUUUUGUGUAUAUGCACACACAUACAUAUGGACAGAUAUGGUCUGAAAUCAAGGGAAGUCAAUGGAAAGACUCAGCACUGACUGUGCUUUAAGUUAAGACCACUGUAAAUAUUGAUUUUUCUUCCCUUUUGUCUUUAAUGUGUCACCAGACAGGAAUUAUGUUUGUCUCUAUACAACGUCUUGCGCAAUAUGACUUUUGAAUAGGAUUUUACUACCUGAUUUCUGCAUAUUAAUGUAUGUGAUUCAAGUUUGUACUCACCUAGCCAGCUUUUAUCUUGUUUCUCCUUAAAACAAAGAAACUGCAGAAGAGAAUAGGUUCAAAUAAAAUCACCUGAAUUAGACUUCUGUAAUGCA